CCUACGGGGGGCAGCAGUGAGGAAUAUUGGUCAAUGGUCGGGAGACUGAACCAGCCAAGCCGCGUGAGGGAUGAAGGUACAGAGUAUCGUAAACCUCUUUUGUCAGGGAACAAAGGCGGGGACGUGUCCCCGGAUGAGUGUACCUGAAGAAAAAGCAUCGGCUAACUCCGUGCCAGCAGCCGCGGUAAUACGGAGGAUGCGAGCGUUAUCCGGAUUUAUUGGGUUUAAAGGGUGCGCAGGCGGUCUGUUAAGUCAGGUGGAAAAGCCCGGGGCUCAACCCCGGCCCGCCGUUGAAACUGUAGUUCUUGAGUACUGGAGAGGCAGACGGAAUGCCUAGUGUAGCGGUGAAAUGCGUAGAUAUUAGGAGGAACACCAGUGGCGAAGGCGGUCUGCUGGACAGCAACUGACGCUGAGGCGCGAAAGCGUGGGGAGCAAACAGGAUUAGAUACCCUAGUAGUC
rnacentral:rRNA from 1 species